CUUUCUGUUAACAGAUCCCCUCCUCGUGCCUUACAGACACUGUUUAUCCCUCUUCCUUUGAAAUUUUGUCACGAAUUUUAGAGCGAGUAAUUAACAAUGUGGAAGCAGGCUCCCCCCUCGCCGGAUAAAUGGCUCGGGUCCCGCCUCGAGCCCCGCCGCACUUAAACAUUUGGGAGAGGGUGGUCAGGGUGGUCAAAGCCCUCUCGUAUGGACGGUGCCAAACGGUGGAAACGGCUACUGGCUCCCCCGAUGGAUUUAGAUGCCACCAGACCCUGCCUGUCGCCUACCUGCCACCGAGGUCAGCGAUCCCCCCCUCUCUGGAAGACAUGCCUUGGUCAAGGGAGAGCGGUUGCUCCUCUCAGAGUACAGCAACUUGGAGAUGAAACAAGUCCUUCUCAAGUUGAAAACAAAGCUUUAUUACUAGUACUUGUCCUGCUCCACUGGAUUACAAACGUAUGGGAAAGCUGAUUUUACUCUUCACCCCAGCAGCGUCCACAGUCCGUACUGCCUGGCAAGCAGCUCCUCCUUCAGCCAGCAUGCAUUAUGCUUCCUCUUCUCUUGUCCCUGUGGCUGGGAAAAAAUCUGUGACAAAAACACCGAAGCCAUUGGUUUCACUAUUCUUCCCCAGAUUUUCUCCCAUAACGCCUAUAGACACUACAUGUAUACUGUGAUCGUUUUUUGCAAAUUACUAAAAUACAUAACUAAUUACUAAAUACAUACCUAUUUCUUAACUGUUACCUUGUUGCCCCUUUCCUUGCAUCCACCUUAUCUAUUUCAUUUGCUUGUAUUUGACAAUGAUUAUUUCCUCUUUUGAAACAACUAUCCUGUUUAUUUCCUUUUGUUUUUACUUAUAAUUAGUUCAUCACCUGUCCGUUUAGGGUCAUGAUCUACCAUUGAGUGGUAGAUAAUCCAGAUAAUAAUAGUGAACAAAAGCAGAAACGCUUUGUUGGUUUCAGUAGAACUCCAAGUUAUGCUUUACAUGAUUUUAAAAUCUGGUCUCAAAACUUCCUUAAUCAUACUUCUUUUGGGGCAUCUGCAAUGGUUUUCUGGGGUGAAAGCUAGUAAGUUAAGGUGCAUAAGCACUUAGUUCAGUUUGGUUCUAAUUAGUAAAAUCUGUAAAUCCUGAAGUCACAUAAAAUCAUAAAGGUUGGAAAAGACAUCUAAAAUUACAUAUGGGAAAAGUAAAAAUAAUAGUGUUUCUCCCUAGAAAAGCAGUAUGCAUUUGAAAGCAACCCUUGAUAAACUCUGUCAGACUUAAUUUCCUAUCUUCAUCUCCUGAUUUUCUCAAUGUCUGUAAUCCUGUUCCUUCAGGGUGGUAUUUCUUUAAAACAGUGCUUACUACAACACUGUUAUAUCAUUAGGUCAAGUAUUCAUGCUAAGGUUUAUUAAUUCCUUAGCACUGUCAUGUUAAUGAAAAGCGCACCUGUGUUUUUCAGUUUUCAAGCAACAGGGCUUUGGUCUGCACUGCAGACCAGUCUGAGAGAAUGCUAGUAGGCUUUCAUUUAGAUGAAACUGAACGAGGAUAUGCAGAUCAGUGCAUCUAAUGCACUUGAACCACUUAUAGUCAUUCAGUUCAUGACUCCAAGGCCUGCAACACAGACAGAAAGCACAUUGGUCCUCAGCACCAACCAUUUUACUACAAAAAUUGACUUCUGUAGCAUUGUUUUUCUUGCUAACAUAUACAGCUAUUAUGUCUUCCUUUGAGGUGUUGUGCCCCUCAUUUGGUAGAACUUUUGGCCAUAAUUAUUUCUUUUGUUAUUGUCAUGUCAUUGUUAAUUCAUCUCAGAAAUUACAAGGUCUGGAAUACUAAAAGAGUAAGAGUUACAACUGUGAACUAAUAUGAUUAAUUUAAUCUGGAUCUUUCUAGUAUUUUUUUCAUUGUUCAUGUUUAUUUGAAGGAAUACAAACUUUUCUACCUUCUUUUUCUGCAUUAUUACUAUUGACUGUAAGCAACUGUCAUAGUAGUUUAUAAAAAAUUGUAGUUUCUUGUAAAGAAAGACAAGAGGAAAUCUUUACCUCAGAAAAUUCCUGAAUUAGAGGUUGUAGUAUUUAGUCUUUUUUUUUUUUUUUUUCUUUUCCCUAAUGCUAAAAUAUUAAAGUGUUCCUAAUGAUAGAAUUCAUUUACAAAUGCUUAACUGAUGUUACACUUUGUUUGAAAGUAUUAUUUCAGCAUUUAUCUAUUCAUCCCUGCAAUUAUUUUGGCUACUUAAAAAUAAAGAACAUUGUUACAGGUAGUAACUGUUGAAAAUAAAACUGCAAGGCUGUGAGCUGAGAGGAGGAAAUGUUUUCAGCUCCCAGAUUCUUUGUUUUCCAUAGGGUAUAGACAAAAGUUUGUAGUUCAUGCACAGUCGAUUAAUUGUCACCAUUAAACUUCAUCACUUCCAUCACAUUUAAAAUAUUAAUUCCACCAAUACAUACUAAACCAAAAGACAUUUUAAACACUGAAUUUUAGUGUAGGAAACGAAUUUUUAAUUUUGAUGACUGUAUUUUUUACAGUGCUUUGAGAUGACUUAGGCAUGAAAGGUACUAUGGAGAUAAAGAUGGCGUGUUUUCCUUCUGUUACUGUAGUCAUCUCAGUUUACUUAGACUGACACCAUUGUAAUUGUGGGAUGGGAAACAAAAUCCCUUGAAGAUAAAAGACUAAAUCCAUGUCAUGACAAAUGAGGUUAUGAAAUAUAAUUACUUUGCAUUCUCAGUAAUGUUUUUCCAAAUGUACAUAUACAAUUAUUUUUUACUACAGUGAAAUGGCUCUGUCGGUUAACUGCUUGAAAAUGUUACUACUUAAAUGUAAUUUCAAAACAGGAGUUUAUUUUCAACUCAGUAGGAAAAAGCAGAAAUGUGGAAAUCUAUACACUGCUUUUAGAAAAGAAAAUUAAUCUGUACUAAUAUUAUAUUAUCAUAUUAUUCACGAAGUCCUAGACUAUUUUAGAGUAUUGGCAUAUUACAGGCUGCAUAGUGGGCUUUAAAAUAGAAGGUAACAUGGCUUUAAUUACAAGAACGUUCCAUGCAUUAUUAUAAUAACAAUUUGCUCUGUGACUCUCUUCCUAGUCAUUAAAUCUGUCAGUCUAUAGCAGUGGAUAGGUGCAUUUGCAAUAAUAUAUUACUUUUAUUUAAUACCUCUAAAACAGAAUGUAGUUUUCUUAUUCCUAAUAGAGAAUAAUAAGUUCAAUAGCAAUAGACAUAGGCAUUUUUGGGAUAAAAUAUGACAAUGUAACCAAAGGAAGCAAUGCUCCUUAGGUAUCUUUAACACAUGAAUAAAGAUGUUUGUAGCAUGCAUCAAAAACUGCAGGAAGAGUUUUGGUAGAAGUGAUCUAAUUACUUGGGAUAGAAUAUAAUGAAAUCACAAAAAGAAGGUGCCAUUCUGUUCUUAAUGAUAAGGCUUACUUUAAGUGCAAAUGAAACAGGGAUGUCAAAGAAAAUAGAAACAUUAUUUAUUAUAUAUUUAUUAUAUAUUAUCAUUAUAUUUAUUAUAUAUUCCUGAGAUUCCUCUGAUUCAAAGACUAGCCAAUUUGACUUAAUGUAGCUUCUCAUGUAAUCUUGUGAUAAAAAUGAAAGAGUGAGAGUGAAAAGACCUUUGAUUAAUUCCAACUAAUUUAAAAAAAAAAAAAGUAAACUUUUGCUUGCAAUGAUCAGCAAUUCAACUGAUAGCUACAUGUUUCAUGAGGGAGAUCUAAAUAUGUGUUCUUUGCAUGUAGCAUUCCAGUUAUAUACAAAGAACAUUAUUUUUGUUUAACACCUAUUGCUUUUUUGCUAAUAAGUGCAUGAGAAAUUAAGGUUCUGAGCUUUUGUAUCCCUACUCUCACUCAUCUAUGAUCAUGUAUUAAUGAUACUAUUGAAACAUUAAGUCCCCUAAAUGUUCUGUUGUUCAGCAUCUCCAUUUUGUAUUUGUUUAUGUAUCCUUUGGACUACAAUUAAAAUCUGUGGAGUUACAGUGCUUCCA